ensembl:lncRNA
GAGGCUGAGGCUGAGGCUGAGGCUGAGGCUGAGGCUGAGGCUGAGGUUGAGGUUGAGGUUGAGGUUGAGGCUGAGGUUGUGCGGGGAGCCUUCUGUUACCGGGGCGGAAUAGGAUAGCUCGGUUGAAAGGGAGCUGCUUCAAUGAUCAUCAAAUCCAGUCUUCAGGACUAGCCAGGAAUUGAAGAGUAUUAAUGAGGAAGUUAUCCAUUUGGAUAUGCCUUCUGAACGCUGACAGGCGUGGGGCAUCAGCCUCCUCAGUAGGAAGCCUGUGGCCGCCCUCACGGUACAGAAACUUCUCCUGUUGUCCACUCGACCUCCCCAGCACAGCUUUGUGCUAUUCCACCACGUUCUGACACCAUUUCCCAAGGGGUAGAGCCUGGCACCUCUCUGCAAUGACAGCAUCGUAACUCUGAAACAGUGGUCACCUCCGUGGUGCAGAUUCUUACAAGCACAGCAUGCAGAAAUAAAUGGGAGGCGUUACUUCUGGAGUGACCUGUGUAUAUGCAGCCCAAGGCAAUUACCCUCCACUCAGUGCAGUCCAGGAAAGCUGAAAGGUUGGAUGCUCACGCUUUAGAGGCAUUGAUGGUUCAGGCUGCAGUCCCUCCCAGGGUCACUGAAGCACCUGUAAAUCCAUAUUGCUUCAAAGUGGAGAAUCUCAUUCUCACUGUUCCAUCACUGCUUACACUCAUUUUCCUAGGACUUGGGUGGUUAUGCAGUGAGCUAGCUCAGGCAACAAGUCCCGCUGAAAUUAACCCAAAGCAAAAAAGGUUACUUUUGAAUAGCCUCACUUCUACAACCCUAGUUAUUAAUUGAGUGGGACCACCACUACUGUCUCAUUUAGCUUCUAAUCUAGAAUUCAGACAAAAUACCCAGUAGUGGCACUGUUUAUUGAUCCAAAGUGGCACCAUUAUUAUCGUGAUGUAGUAAGUAAAAAUAUAUCCCUUUUUCAGCAAUUUAAAAUGGUUAAGAAUAUCUAUGUUGACUGAAACUGUGGGACUACAAUGCCUGGUUUUUUCAGGUAUGACUUGUAAAAAGUAGGAUAGAAUCCUGGACUUGUAUAUGUGCAGAUAAAAAACUGUUAGAAGAUGAUUGAACAGCUCUGUCCAGCUUUUCAGGCCUAUCAGCAUCC